rnacentral:rRNA from 1 species
UGGGGAAUAUUGGGCAAUGGGCGCAAGCCUGACCCAGCAAUGCCGCGUGAAGGAAGAAGGCUUUCGGGUUGUAAACUUCUUUGACAGGGGAAGAGCAGAAGACGGUACCCUGAAAACAAGCCACGGCUAACUACGUGCCAGCAGCCGCGGUAAUACGUAGGUGGCAAGCGUUGUCCGGAUUUACUGGGUGUAAAGGGCGUGUAGCCGGGAAGGCAAGUCAGAUGUGAAAUCUGGAGGCUCAACCUCCAAAUUGCAUUUGAAACUGUUUUUCUUGAGUACUGGAGAGGCAGACGGAAUUCCUUGUGUAGCGGUGAAAUGCGUAGAUAUAAGGAGGAACACCAGUGGCGAAGGCGGUCUGCUGGACAGCAACUGACGGUGAGGCGCGAAAGCGUGGGGAGCAAACAGGAUUAGAUACCC